rnacentral:lncRNA from 1 species
UAACGUAUUAAUAUUCGUAAGUAAAUGACUAAAUGAAAUGAAUAUGAUGACAUGAUAAUAGAUGAUGAAACAUGAUGUUAUUUCACUAACAUAUGAAGUGAAUAUAGAUAUUUACAUGCAUGAUAUUUAAAUUAUAUGAUCUGGACCGCUUCCUAUAGAUGAUGGCCAAUCCUCUAACGAGAGUGGUGAUGCGAUAUGAUUGUAGGGGUCACCUUGGCAAUGUACAGUCGUGAGUAUAAAUUACAUGUAAGGCUACUAUAGUUGACACGAUCGUCGUCAUAGAACGUGUCAUGAUUUGGCAAGCCGUAAAUGUGUUGUGGUUUAGCAAGCCGUAAAUGU